GGCCGAGUGGUGUAGUUGGUUAUCACGUAUCGUUAACACCGAUAAGGUCCUCGGUUCGAGUCCGGGCUUGGUCA